rnacentral:rRNA from 1 species
UACGUAGGUGGCGAGCGUUGUCCGGAUUUACUGGGCGUAAAGAGCGCGCAGGCGGUCGUUCAAGUCGCGUGUGAAAGCCCCCGGCUCAACUGGGGAGGGUCACGCGAUACUGAUCGACUCGAAGGCAGGAGAGGGAAGUGGAAUUCCCGGUGUAGUGGUGAAAUGCGUAGAUAUUGGGAGGAACACCAGUGGCGAAGGCGGCUCGCUGGACCGGUUCUGACGCUGAGGCGCGAAAGCGUGGGGAGCAAACGGG